rnacentral:rRNA from 1 species
UACGUGAGGUGCGAGCGUUGUCCGGAAUUAUUGGGCGUAAAGAGCUCGUAGGCGGUUUGUUGCGUCUAUCGUGAAAACCUGCAGCUUAACUGUGGGCUUGCGGUGGAUACGGGCAGACUUGAGUUCGGUAGGGGAGACUGGAAUUCCUGGUGUAGCGGUGAAAUGCGCAGAUAUCAGGAGGAACACCGGUGGCGAAGGCGGGUCUCUGGGCCGAUACUGACGCUGAGGAGCGAAAGCGUGGGGAGCGAACAGG